GGGUUGGUGGCGAGGAACAAAAACUCCCUUAGCCGGAGUAGAAAUGGGAUCUGUUGAUGGUGUCGGGGAACUCAGGAAACAUGGAAGGAAGGCCACAGCCUCCGAGAGGAACUGGCAGAAGAGGAGUUAACGCGCCAUCAGUGCCAGGAAGCAACAGACCAAAAGUCACUCUGGCUAUUGCUUGGAACAAGUUCUGCGCAACCAGUUACCGUUUCUCAAGUGUUCUGAAAGUGAGCCAAGAGCAGUCUGCAGAAGCGGCGGCCGGCCGGCUAAGCAGCAGCGUGGACUGUUCUCAUCUCGGGCAGACGGCCGAGCAGCUUGUACAGUUAUCUCUUUAAUUGGCAUCUCCUUUGCUUUUAUUUAAAGCAGAGCCUUCUGGUGCGAAGUGCACUGAACUACCAGGGUGCUUGCCCCAGCAGACCACGGCAAAGUGACCUCGCUUCUGGAGGUGUCAGAAGAGUCCAUCCACGGAGGCAGAGGCAAUUAAGUCAGAGCCCUUUGACUAUCCUUCCCAAUCCAAGACUGCGCUCAAGAUGAAGCGUUGGCAAAUUGCGGUCCAGAGUGGGCCAAUCCUGUCACAAGUCGAGCAUGGCCUUUAUGUCUCUCAAUGGGGAAAAAAAAAAUCAAGAACAAAGUCGUACUUUGUGAUUCAUGGAAAUGAUCUGACUUCAGAUUUCAGUGUCUACAAAUAAAGUU
rnacentral:lncRNA from 1 species